CUCACGUGCCAAUCAUCCGCCAUUGUCAUUGUCCUGAUCUCACGGCCUCACCUUCUUCCACUUCAGUUCGCUCGCUGCCUUCUCAAAGGUCGAAUCAUUCGCUUACCCGUGUCGAUUCAGCUGCGGAGAUUCUUCCCUGUUGUUCGAGGCUUUCCGAGUAUUUUUACAAGCAGGGGAACUGUGAAUGUAGUUGGAUUGAGGAUGAGGUGUUUGCAUGCAAAUGUCCACUCUCCCGAAGAAAAACCAGAUCUAGGGAUGAACAGCUACUGCCAUGGGAAAUGAGUGUGAGAGUUGCAUACAACAUAGCACAAGCUCUUGGCCACUGCAAUUCCAAAGAUCAUAAAGUAUAUCAUGAUUUAAAUGCUUACAGAAUUCCACAGUACCUUGAUUUGUGGCGAACACACGCGCAUACCUUGAAAGAAUUCCACCCUGUCUAAACAUUGGUAUAUCUAUCAGCUGAGGCGUUUUUAAACAGGAAGGUGACCCUAGGUUACUAGUUUUGGUUUAAUGAAAUAUGGUAGUGAUGGGAAAAGUUACAGCACCAAUCUAACACACACCCUGCAGAGUUUCUGGGUACAAGUACACACACUACAUAGUCUCUGCAGCUUUGCAAUACUAUUUACAUUUGAAAUAUGCUCUGUUAUUGUCUUAAUAUGAACUGGA